AUACGGAGGGUGCAAGCGUUAAUCGGAAUUACUGGGCGUAAAGCGUACGUAGGCGGUCCGUUAAGUGAGAUGUGAAAGCCCCGGGCUUAACCUGGGAACUGCAUUUAAAACUGGCGAACUAGAGUUGAGUAGAGGGGAGUGGAAUUUCAGGUGUAGCGGUGAAAUGCGUAGAGAUCUGAAGGAACACCAGUGGCGAAGGCGACUCCCUGGACUCGAACUGACGCUGAGGUACGAAAGCGUGGGUAGCAAACGGGAUUAGAUACCCUUGUAGUCC
rnacentral:rRNA from 1 species